UACGUAGGGUGCAGGCGUUAAUCGGAAUUACUGGGCGUAAAGCGUGCGCAGGCGGUUAGUUAAGUCUGAUGUGAAAGCCCCGGGCUCAACCUGGGAAUGGCAUUGGAAACUGGCUUGCUAGAGUGUGGCAGAGGGGGGUGGAAUUCCGCGUGUAGCAGUGAAAUGCGUAGAGAUGCGGAGGAACACCGAUGGCGAAGGCAGCCCCCUGGGCCGACACUGACGCUCAGGCACGAAAGCGUGGGGAGCAACCAGG
rnacentral:rRNA from 1 species